rnacentral:rRNA from 1 species
CCUACGGUGGCUGCAGUGGGGAAUAUUGGACAAUGGGGGCAACCCUGAUCCAGCCAUGCCGCGUGUGUGAAGAAGGCCCUCGGGUUGUAAAGCACUUUCAGUGAGGAAGAACGCCUGGUGGUUAAUACCCAUCAGGAAAGACAUCACUCACAGAAGAAGCACCGGCUAACUCCGUGCCAGCAGCCGCGGUAAUACGGAGGGUGCGAGCGUUAAUCGGAAUUACUGGGCGUAAAGCGCGCGUAGGUGGCUUGAUAAGCCGGUUGUGAAAGCCCCGGGCUCAACCUGGGAACGGCAUCCGGAACUGUCAAGCUAGAGUGCAGGAGAGGAAGGUAGAAUUCCCGGUGUAGCGGUGAAAUGCGUAGAGAUCGGGAGGAAUACCAGUGGCGAAGGCGGCCUUCUGGACUGACACUGACACUGAGGUGCGAAAGCGUGGGUAGCAAACAGGAUUAGAUACCCUGGUAGUC